rnacentral:rRNA from 1 species
AGCGAACGCUGGCGGCAGGCUUAACACAUGCAAGUCGAGCGGGCACUUCGGUGUCAGCGGCAGACGGGUGAGUAACACGUGGGAACGUACCCUUCGGUUCGGAAUAACGCUGGGAAACUAGCGCUAAUACCGGAUACGCCCUUUUGGGGAAAGGUUUACUGCCGAAGGAUCGGCCCGCGUCUGAUUAGCUAGUUGGUGGGGUAAUGGCCUACCAAGGCGACGAUCAGUAGCUGGUCUGAGAGGAUGAUUAGCCACACUGGGACUGAGACACGGCCCAGACUCCUACGGGAGGCAGCAGUGGGGAAUAUUGGACAAUGGGCGCAAGCCUGAUCCAGCCAUGCCGCGUGAGUGAUGAAGGCCUUAGGGUUGUAAAGCUCUUUUGUCCGGGACGAUAAUGACGGUACCGGAAGAAUAAGCCCCGGCUAACUUCGUG